AUCCUCGGCUCCUCAGAUGAGCGUAACAUCACCCUUGCCCUUGAUGCUUUCGAUGAUCGCUCCUUUGAUCUCUCGGAGCUGGAGCUUCCUUUCUCUGAGGCCGAGAUUUGGGAGGCCGUCAAAUCCCUUCCCUCCGGCAAGGCCCCGGGCCCGGACGGCUUCACCGCCGAGUUCUUGCGCGCCUGCUGGGACACUGCCAAGCAUGACAUCUGCGACGCUUUCAACAAGCUAUAUCACCUUAAUGGCAUGGGCUUUCAGAAGCUCAAUGAAGCGCUUGUCACUCUCCUCCCGAAGAAACCUGAUGCCACCACCCUCGCGGACUAUAGGCCUAUCAGCCUAAUUCACCUCUUGGCCAAGCUUUUUGCCAAGGUGUUGUCUUUGCGGUUAGCUCCACGACUUGGGGACAUGGUGUCGACCAACCAGAGUGCGUUCAUUGCAGGCCGCUGCAUUCACGACAAUUUCAUCUUGGUUCAACAGACCGCCCGCCAG
rnacentral:rRNA from 1 species